rnacentral:rRNA from 1 species
UACGUAGGGUGCAAGCGUUAAUCGGAAUUACUGGGCGUAAAGCGUGCGCAGGCGGUUCGGAAAGAAAGAUGUGAAAUCCCAGGGCUUAACCUUGGAACUGCAUUUUUAACUACCGGGCUAGAGUGUGUCAGAGGGAGGUAGAAUUCCGCGUGUAGCAGUGAAAUGCGUAGAUAUGCGGAGGAACACCGAUGGCGAAGGCAGCCUCCUGGGAUAACACUGACGCUCAUGCACGAAAGCGUGGGGAGCAAACAGG